UCGUUGUUAUUCCACAGUAUCCUUGCUUUGUGUUGAACAUGGGUGGAAGUCUCUUUCAACAUUUUCUUGGUUCUUUUCUGCUUUUGCUGUGUUUCAAAGCUGGGUUGGGAUCCAGUUUCAUGCUGGGUGAUGCUAAAGUGGGGUGCAUGGAGAGGGAGAGACAAGCUCUCCUUCACUUCAAACAAGGUGUUGUUGAUCAUUUUGGAACGCUUUCUUCAUGGGGUAAUGGGGAAGGCGAAACAGAUUGUUGCAAAUGGAGAGGAGUGGAGUGUGACAACCAGACGGGUCAUGUGAUCAUGCUUGAUCUUCAUGGAACGGGUCAUGAUGGAAUGGGUGAUUUCCAAAUUUUGGGAGGUAGAAUAUCUCAGCUUGGUCCUUCAUUGUCAGAGUUGCAGCACUUGAAGCAUUUGAACCUUAGCUUCAACCUGUUUGAAGGAGUUCUUCCCACUCAACUCGGAAAUCUUUCCAACUUGCAAUCCCUUGAUCUCAGUGAUAAUUUUGAAAUGAGCUGUGAGAACCUUGAGUGGCUUUCUUACCUUCCUUCCUUAACACACCUUGACUUGAGUGGGGUUGAUCUUAGUAAAGCAAUCCAUUGGCCACAAGCAAUUAAUAAAAUGUCUUCUUCCCUAACUGAGUUAUACUUGAGCUUUACUAAGCUUCCUUGGAUUAUUCCAACAAUAUCCAUUUCCCAUACUAAUUCUUCUACUUCUCUUGCUGUGCUUGAUCUCUCCUUGAAUGGUCUCACUUCUUCAAUAAACCCAUGGUUGUUCUACUUUAGUAGCAGCCUUGUUCAUCUUGACCUCUUUGGUAAUGAUCUAAAUGGUUCAAUUCUAGAUGCUCUUGGAAACAUGACCAAUCUGGCAUAUCUCGAUCUCUCUUUGAAUCAACUUGAAGGUGAGAUUCCAAAGUCCUUUAGUAUCAGCCUUGCUCAUUUGGAUCUUUCUUGGAACCAGCUGCAUGGUUCAAUUCCGGAUGCUUUUGGAAACAUGACUACUCUUGCAUAUCUUGACCUGUCUUCUAAUCAUCUAAAUGGAUCAAUUCCGGAUGCUUUGGGAAACAUGACUACUCUGGCACAUCUUUAUCUCUCUGCGAAUCAACUUGAAGGUGAGAUUCCGAAAUCCUUGAGAGAUUUAUGUAAUUUACAAAUAUUAUUAUUGUCUCAGAACAAUCUCUCUGGACUGCUGGAAAAAGAUUUUCUGGCCUGCUCCAAUAACACAUUAGAGAGUUUAUAUUUAUCUGAAAAUCAAUUCAAAGGGUCAUUUCCCGAUCUUUCUGGAUUUUCACAGUUGAGAGAAUUAUAUCUUGGAUUCAAUCAACUAAAUGGAACUUUACCUGAAAGUAUUGGACAACUAGCUCAACUUCAAGGGUUGAACAUUCGUUCAAAUUCCUUGCAAGGAACUGUGUCGGCAAAUCACCUUUUUGGUCUCUCCAAACUGUGGGAUUUGGACUUGUCAUUCAACUACCUAACAGUCAACAUAAGCCUUGAGCAAGUUCCCCAGUUUCAAGCCCAAGAAAUAAAGUUGGCCUCUUGCAAAUUAGGUCCGCGUUUUCCUAAUUGGCUUCAAACUCAAAAACGUUUGCAAGAACUUGAUAUCUCUGCUUCUGGAAUUUCAGAUGUCAUUCCCAAUUGGUUUUGGAAUUUAACUUCAAAUUUAGUUUGGUUAAACAUUUCCAACAAUCACAUCUCAGGCACUUUGCCCAAUUUAGAAGCAACUCCUUCUUUGGGAAUGGAUAUGAGUUCAAAUUGCUUGAAAGGUUCAAUACCACAAUCUGUUUUCAAUGGUCAGUGGUUGGAUCUCUCUAAGAACAUGUUUUCAGGCUCAGUUUCUUUAUCGUGUGGGACUACUAAUCAGUCUAGUUGGGGUUUGCUCCAUGUUGAUCUCUCAAAUAAUCAACUAUCAGGAGAACUACCCAAAUGUUGGGAGCAGUGGAAAUAUUUAAUUGUUCUUAAUUUGACAAAUAAUAAUUUUUCUGGGACAAUUAAAAAUUCGAUUGGCAUGUUACAUCAGAUGCAAACAUUGCAUUUACGUAAUAAUAGUUUAACUGGAGCACUGCCUUUGUCCUUAAAGAAUUGCAGAGAUUUGCGUCUUAUAGAUUUGGGAAAAAAUAAAUUGUCAGGAAAAAUGCCCGCAUGGAUAGGAGGAAACCUAUCAGAUUUGAUCGUUGUCAACCUAAGAUCCAAUGAAUUUAAUGGAAGCAUACCUUUAAAUCUUUGUCAAUUGAAAAAGGUUCAAAUGUUGGACCUUUCAAGCAACAAUUUAUCUGGAAUUAUACCAAAAUGUCUCAACAAUUUAACUGCCAUGGGUCAAAAUGGGAGUUUGGUCAUUGCUUAUGAAGAAAGAUUGUUUGUUUUUGAUUCAUCAAUAUCCUAUAUUGAUAAUACAGUGGUUCAAUGGAAAGGAAAAGAACUAGAGUAUAAGAAAACUCUUAGACUUGUAAAGAGCAUUGAUUUUUCGAAUAACAAGUUAAAUGGAGAAAUUCCGAUAGAAGUAACUGAUUUGGUAGAAUUGUUGUCAUUGAACUUAUCAAAAAACAAUUUGAUUGGAUCUAUCCCUUUGAUGAUUGGUCAAUUGAAAUCAUUGGAUUUUCUUGAUCUAUCACAAAAUCAGCUUCAUGGUGGAAUCCCUGUCAGUCUUUCUCAAAUAGCAGGUCUAAGUGUUUUAGACCUAUCAGAUAACAUCCUAUCGGGUAAAAUUCCAUCAGGCACCCAAUUGCACAGUUUUAAUGCUUCCACAUACGACGGAAAUCCAGGACUUUGUGGGCCACCGCUUUUGAAAAAAUGUCAAGAAGAUGAAACUAAGGAAGUCUCCUUCACUAGUCUUAUUAAUGAAAAGGAUAUUCAAGAUGAUACAAAUAAUAUAUGGUUUUAUGGAAAUAUUGUUCUUGGAUUCAUCAUUGGAUUUUGGGGAGUUUGCGGCACUUUAUUACUCAACCGUUCAUGGAGAUAUUCCUAUUUCCAGACCCUGAACAAGAUAAAAGACUGGUUGCACAUGACAACAACAACAAAUAUAAAUAGACUACGGAGGAGUUUCUAAAGCUACAUGAACUUCAAUUGGGUAGCAUGUCAAGGAUGAGCAGGUGAUACAUGCUUGUGAGUAAUGGGUUUACUCAGUGUGGGACAGCCUAAAUAUAACCGUCAAAAACCCUUCUCUUAGAGUAGGAGAAAAGAAGCUCCAUACUUCUCAGGACACACAGAACAACACCUUGGUUUGAGACCUUGACCAUGCUUGCAGAAAUGUGUUUUAGGAGCAGCAAUCAGAAGUGGAAGCGUUCACAGAGGAUGACUGGAAAUUGGUCCAGCUUGGACUUACUUUAUUUCAGAACAUUUUAGCCAUUCAAGACAUCUCGUUGCAGUAGAAGGCUGGGGAGUCCGCAUGCUAGUCGAUUUUUAUCUCAGAGAGACUAUGAUUUUUUGGGGAGUUCAGAAGUUGAAUGUGGGGAAGUAUCCUUCACUGGUCCUAGUAACAAAGAGGACAUUCGAUAAUAAAGCAACUAAUACAUGGUUUUAAUGGAAGUAUUGUUCUUGGAUUUAUCAGAUUUUGGGGAGUUUAUGACACUUUACUAUUCAAAUAGUUCAAGGGGAUAUGCCCAAUUCCAGCUCCUAAGCAAGAUAAAAGAUUGGUUGUAUGUGACAACAACAACAAACAUGAAUAGACUAUGGAGGAGCCUCCAAAGUUAAAUGCAUGAAAGCUGCAGUAAAACAGAGAGGUUUGAUUUCCAACAGAGUCAAAUUGCUUGAGGUACUUCAUAUGCAGAUUGAGUGGAGGUUGGGGUGUUUCUCACAAUGCCUGUUGAGGCUUCAUCCGAUGAUAUUUAACAACAGACAGGGUAUCUAUCAGGUCAAAGUCUUCAAUUACAGGCCAAAACACAGUUCUUGAUUGGAAACUUUGAAAUGUGAUCUUGCAGAUUUGGUAGAAAUGAUAUAUAUGGUUGUGUACAGCUUAUGGAGAAUCUUCAGGCUCAUGGCACAUUAAGGGUUUCUAGAAAAUCAAGAAAGGGGAGAAAGAAGAAAACAUUGAGUGACAAGAAUGAAAAUGAAGAAGAGCAUGGAGAUCAUGAUGUCAUUCAGAAUGAAAUUGGUCUCCAAUUGUGGACAGUCCGCAGAUCUGAACAUGUCACAGAAAGAAGCUUAGAAAAUUCUAUUUCUGAUAGGAAACAAGGAGGAUUCGUACAGAUUGGGCCCAAAAUACCUGUGCGUGGGACAUGAAGCCUUGGAGGCAGUCUGCCACAUAUGGAUGUCAGGAAGGCCAAACACAAUACUAAUGAUCUUCAUUAUGGAACUGAUGAUUCUUGGGGUGAUGAGCAGGCAGCUGUGCUUGAUAAAAUUGAUAUUAAGGUGCCUGCCUUGGUUUCUGCUUUUGCAAAUAAGCAUGUUAUCCAAAAUAUAUGUUGGCUGCUUAAAUUUUAUAAGAACAAUUCAACCAGGACACUAUGCAUUUUGCAGAAGAUCUGUGAAGAUUUGGAGCUCUCUCCAAUGUCAUACCAGGUUAGAACUCAACAAACAUUUAUAUGUACAUAUUUUUUUUGACCAAAUUUUGCAGUUAUCACUCCUCACCAUAUUCCACAAUAUCCUGUGUGAGCAGAAGUCAUGUCCAUGGAAGGAUUAUGAAAAUAUUGUUUGUUUUCUGACAAAUUUGGUUAGAAAAUGAAAAGUCAACCCCUUCUUUUUGUGGAAGUUCUCUUCUGGAAAACCGGUAGAGAAUGUCAUUACAUCACUUCCCAAUCUUUAUUGCAUGAACUUGGAAGUCCGUAGAAAGAAAGUGGAAAAUGGAGAAAUAUUUCAAGGCUUGGAGAAAUUGGCUCAACACAAGGCAAUGGAUGGAUGCACAAAAGUAUAUCAAAAGUGAUGAUGAUACAUUUGCACAGAAUAAAUAUUUUGAGGAAGAAUUCGUACAUAAUUACAACUUAUUAUUGAACCUG